CUCCAGGACUCAGUUCCUCCCACCAAAAGCUAUUAAACAGGAAGGAACUGUCUGAAAAAACUCUUCAGGGGCUCUGGAGGCCAGAAGAACACUGGCCUUGGGUUACAGCAUCUAAGGAAGAGCAGGAGGAGAGGCUGAAAAAACCAUGGUUCAUGAGGAUCCUGAUUACAGAUGCCCAAUGAAAGAUUCUCUUCUCCAUUCUUGGGGUCAUUGGGAGCCUGCAGGAACUGGACCUGAGUGGAAACUCCCUGAGCCGCUCUGCAGUGCAGGCUCUUUGUGAGGCCCUCGGAUGCCCUCAUUGCCACCUGGAGACGCUGCGGCUGGGGGGCUCUGGCUUCACACCCAGCUGCUGCCAGGAUCUGGCCUCUGCACUCAGUGCCAGCCCCAGCCUGGUGGAGCUGGACCUGCAGCAGAACAGCCUGGGAGGCCCAGGCCUGGGGCGGCUCUGCCAGGGGCCGAGGCACCCCACCUGCAACCUCAACCACCUGUGGUAAGGCCCGUGGGUCCCUCCUGAGUGGAGGGCAGGGCAGGGAGCAGGAGAAGGGGAAAGGGGUGCUGUGCAAUUGGCAGGGGAAGGAAAGGGGGUGGUGAAAUGCAGAGUCAGCCUGGGUUGAC